CAGCAUCAAUCACAUUGCAUAGUCAGACAUCAGUAGGAAUUUUCUGGUAUUUUUUCCCCUUUGAGCCUAUCAAAGUUGAUGAGGAUGAGGGCGUUGAGCUUUUCUCUGGUUUUACUGGCAUCUCUGGGGGCCUUUCAUUGUUCCCCUGAUACCGCCCUUCCUCCGAUAUCAGCCAACACUCUCAAACGUCUGUCUCUGGAAGGGGAGAAGCUGGUGGAUCAGGAGGUCAGCAAGGCACUCUACGGAAUCAAACAAAUGAAGGAGGUGAUGGCCAGGAAUGAAGAGAAACAUACAAACCUCAUGAACUCUCUCAGACACAGCGGGGAGAAGAAAAAAGGGGCGGCAGAGAUUGCACAGGAUAUAGAAAAGAAGCUGAACGAAGCCGAGCAGCAGUGCAGAGAGUCUCUGAAGUCCUCCUGGGAGGAAUGUCGACCUUGUCUCGAGGACACAUGUAAGAACUUCUAUACGAACACCUGCCGCCGCGGAUUCGCUACCUUUACCAAUAAGCUACAGAACUUCUUCCAAAGACUGAGCUCUCGCUUUGGCCCUCGUGAUACUCAGGACGAGGUAGCGUUGAACCAGAGCGCAGAGAAUCCUGACCUGGAGGUGGUGAGAAUCGAGGACUCCUUCAGCAACCUGCUCACAAAAGUAGGAACUCUGGUCAAUCGCAGUGUGGUGCUGGUCUCCCACUUCCACCGUGAGCUGGACCAGGCCCUACGCAGAGCCUUCAGCCCUGAGCUUCAGGAAGACAAAGAGAGGGAGCUGGCUCUCAAGCCUGCCAACAAAGCUCUGGAUUCUGCCUUUCUGGAGGGUGUGGGCCUGGACGAUGUGCUGGAGUCUUUCUUUGACUUUGGCAGAAGUGUGCUGGAGGAGUUUGGGGCCGUAAUCACACAAGCCUUCAGUGACAUUCAUGAUGCUGGGAUGAAGACGGAGAAGGAGGAAGGGAGGAAACUCUUCCCUCAGUUUCUGCAGAACAAGAGGCUGUGCAGAGAUCUGCGCAGAAAGUCCUCGGAGUGCUGGCAGCUGCAGAGCAAGUGUGAGGCCUGCCAGGGAACCUUGUUUACUGAAUGCCCAAAUGUAAGAGAGCUGCACAUCGAGUUGGAUGAGGCCUCGCAGCUGUUGGAGGCGUCCAAGCAACAGUAUGAGGAGGUGCUGGGCAUCGUGCAACGUCAUACUGACGACACCAUCAGCUGGCUCAGCAACAUGGCCUCUGACUUUGGUUGGGUGACUGAGCUCACCAAUAACAACACCACUCCUGAGAGCAUCUUCAGCAUUGCCACGUGGCACAGACUGAGGAGGGCAACAACACUCCAGCAGCAGACACUACAGUGGAAGUGAAUAUUCUAAACUCCCCCACUCUCACCCUGACCGUUCCUGCGGGUCUCAGGCUGCAGGAUCCUGCCUUCAUCCAGUAUGUGGCACAGGAGGCUCUGGGCAUGUACAAGCAGAUGGCCAGGCAUGAUGAUGUGUAAUCAAACUAGAAGUUUUCAUCACAGCACUAACCCGGGUACACUGCUAAAAAGAGUACAUGGUUAUAUCUUGUGUUUACUUGUAUUUUAUGCAUUGUGCUUAG